CGCGUGUUGACCCGACACAAACACCAUCCUUUGUCAUCGCUCCCUGCCACACAGCCAGGUUGCAGCUUUUCAAGGAUUCUAUCGCGUCAUCAGAAUAUUCUACCGUCAAGAUUUUCUCCCGACUGUAUUCCGAUAAUGCCCCCGUGGGUUCUGCCUAAACCUGUCGGUACAUUGCA
rnacentral:lncRNA from 1 species